rnacentral:misc_RNA from 1 species
GAUGAAGAACGCAGCGAAAUGCGAUACGUAAUGUGAAUUGCAGAAUUCAGUGAAUCAUCAAAUCUUUGAACGCAUAUUGCGCUCUCUGGUAUUCCGGAGAGCAUGCUUGUUUGAGUAUCAGUAAACACCUCAACUUCCAUAUCUUUUUUGAAAUGGGAGUUGGACUUGAGUGAUCCCAACGCUUUUCCUCACCGAAAAGUGGCGGGUUACUUGAAAUGCAGGUGCAGCUGGACUUUUCUCUGAGCUAUAAGCAUAUCUAUUUAGUCUGCCUAAAAAACAGAUUAUUACCUUUGCUGCAGCUAACAUAAAGGAGAUUAGUUCUUGUGCUGACUGAUGCAGGAUUCACAAAGACAGGCUUCGGCCGACUUUGUAAACUCGAUCUCAAAUCAAGUAAGACUACCCGCUGAACUUAAGCAUAUCAAUAAGCGGAGGA